rnacentral:lncRNA from 1 species
CAGCCAUGGUAGCUUAGAAAAGGGAGCAAAGAAUUUUUACUUCCAAAUGCCUACAUUUGGCAUGCCUGCAAUGCCUGCAAUGCCUACAUUUGGCUAUGCCUGCAAUGCAUAGACAUUAUCUCGUCGGAGAUCUUGGGGGAUAUUAUUAGUAUCUUCAUUUUAUAGAUGAGGAAAAUUGGCUUCAGAUUUGUUGUGUAACUCGGGGAAGGUCGUACAAUUAGAAGUUCUUGGCCAGCUUUUUAAACCAGGACUCUCUGAUAAUCAGUCGGCCUGUGAUAUCCCUUUCUAGUCAGCAGUCAGACCACUACCUGAAGGCCCCUGAGUGGCCUAGACGUCGUGUAGGCAUCUGUUCUAGGGACUGGAACUACUGAUUGGGAGCUGUGAGAACUUGCCCCUUGCUCUGAAGACCCAGAUGUCAAAGGAACCAGGGAUACUUGGCCUGGAGACAAUAAGAUCUAGAGGAACUAUUCUACCAGGAAAGGGAAGCAAUAUGUGACUUGCUCCCGUUUCAAGAUGCAUUUGCCCCUGGUCCUU